AACGAACGCUGGCGGCAGGCCUAACACAUGCAAGUCGAGCGAGAACUUCGGUUCUAGCGGCGGACGGGUUAGUAACGCGUGGGAAUAUGCCCUUCACUACGGAAUAGUCCCGGGAAACUGGGUUUAAUACCGUAUACGCCCUUCGGGGGAAAGAUUUAUCGGUGAAGGAUUAGCCCGCGUUGGAUUAGGUAGUUGGUGGGGUAAUGGCCUACCAAGCCGACGAUCCAUAGCUGGUUUGAGAGGAUGAUCAGCAACACUGGGACUGAGACAUGAUCAAACCCUCUUCGUAG
rnacentral:rRNA from 1 species